UAAGGAAUAUUGCUCAAUGGGAGAAAUCCUGAAGCAGCAACGCCGCGUGGAGGAUGAAGGGUCUAUGACUUGUAAACUCCUGUAAAGAAGGAAAAAAUUCCCAUUUGAUGGGAGAUGAUGGUACUUCUGGAGUAAGCCCCGGCUAACUACGUGCCAGCAGCCGCGGUAUUACGUAGGGGGCAAGCGUUGUCCGGAUUUACUGGGUGUAAAGGGUGCUCAGGCGGAUUUGUAAGUCAGAGGUGAAAUCUUACAGCUUAACUGUGAAACUGCCUUUGAUACUGCAAGCCUAGAGUAUGGAAGAGAGUGAUGGAAUUUCUGGUGUGUCAGUGAAAUGCGUAGAUAUCAGAUAGAACACCAAUGGCGAAGGCUGUCACUUUGUCCAUUACUGAC
rnacentral:rRNA from 1 species